rnacentral:rRNA from 1 species
GACGAACGCUGGCGGCGUGCCUAAUACAUGCAAGUCGAGCGGAGUGGAUAGAAAGCUUGCUUUCCUGAGACUUAGCGGCGGACGGGUGAGUAACACGUAGGCAACCUGCCCUUUAGCCUGGGAUAACUACCGGAAACGGUAGCUAAUACCGGAUACUUUCAAUUCUCGCAUGGGAAACGAACGAAAGACGGAGCAAUCUGUCACUGAAGGAUGGGCCUGCGGCGCAUUAGCUAGUUGGUGGGGUAACGGCUCACCAAGGCGACGAUGCGUAGCCGACCUGAGAGGGUGAUCGGCCACACUGGGACUGCGACACGGCCCAGACUCCUACGGGAGGCAGCAGUAGGGAAUCUUCCGCAAUGGGCGAAAGCCUGACGGAGCAACGCCGCGUGAGUGAUGAAGGUUUUCGGAUCGUAAAGCUCUGUUGCCAGGGAAGAACGUCCGGUAGAGUAACUGCUACCGGAGUGACGGUACCUGAGAAGAAAGCCCCGGCUAACUACGUGCCAGCCGCCGCCGUAA